UUGUCUCUGGCAGAGUUUUUUUAACCAAUUCACUAGCUUCAAUGAUCUUCCAUAUAGGAAUGAUCCUCUUCCUCUUCUGUAAUUGGACCCCUUGUUCCACAGCUUUACUUUCAUCAUUCAAUCAAACGUUUAACUGAGAUAGCAUAGCUGUAGGUUGAUCCAAAUCAAUGUCCCUGAGAGUAAACUCAACCUUUGUCCCCUCCGUGCUCUCGCCAAUGUCAUCGCCAAGCAACAUAACUUCAUCAUCGUCUUCCUCACAUUGGUUUCUUUGCACUUCCUUUUCCUCACUUCUUUGUCUUUUCACUUCCUUACCCUCCCUUCUUUUUCUUUGCGGAUCCUCUCCCUCACUGCUUUUUCU
rnacentral:lncRNA from 1 species